rfam:Xenopus laevis strain J chromosome 7S, whole genome shotgun sequence.
UUGCACUGUUCGUAAUCAGUUGCCAUUACUUGUUGGCAUUUGGUUCCAUUCCAGUGCUACAGAAAUCCCACUAAGGACAACACAGUCCCACGCCUGUUGGGCUGAUAUUCUUUUUGGGGAACAUC